rnacentral:RNase_P_RNA from 1 species
AAAUUCGAGUAAUCGCUGCAAUUUAUUGUAGAGGAAAGUCCAUGCUCACACGGCUCUGAGAUGACCGUAGUGUUCGUGCUUACUGAAAAAAUAAGGUAAGGCAAGGUGAUUCACCUUGACGGCGGAAGGAAAACCUAAGUCGGUUUCGAUAUGGUUGACACUUCCUGAAAGUGCCACAGUGACGGAGCUUUAUUGGAAACAAUAAAGGUGGAACGAGGUAAACCCCACGAGUGAGAAACCCAAAUUAUGGUAGGGGCACUCUCCAAAAGGAAUUGAACGGAUGGAGGGACGAGAAGCCUAAUUCUCGUAGAUAGAUGAUUACUACCCGAUACGUACGAGGCUAACGCCGCUUGAGUACCCGGGAACAAAACAUGGCUUAUGAA